rnacentral:lncRNA from 1 species
CGGCAGACGCGUUGCGGGUUGCCUUGUGCUUCUCCUCCUCCCCGUCAUCCGUGCUGUCCUCCGCUGCAUGGCUCCCCAUCUGAGAGCAAACAAAAACUAAAAAAAAAAAAAAAAAACCUCACAGAACUGCAGGUAACUAUAGAAACUUCUGGGAUGAAUGCGUUGAGGGGAAAGUAGAGCAGAGCAGGGGCUUUUGCCGGGUUUGUCGGAGAUUUACGCACGCAGACGCAUGCCAAAUUCAACACGUUGAUGGUGACGCGCACGAUGCGCACAGACCGACCGGCGCUUACCAACAGGUCGACGCAGAGUUCUCAAGAGAGUGACACGUGUUUCCUCGUCCACCUACGGAAAAGCCAGAGGUCCUGCUGCACAGCAAGGACGUCUGCUGGGCCCCGAGGGCGUAACGGGGUGUUACGAGGGACAUGGAGACGGAGGCGGCCUGCAGCUCUCACCCAAUGUGUAAUUACAGGCUUGCAGAGAAAGGAGCCAGCAGAACAUCGCUGUGAGCAGAGAUUUUUAAGCAGGCAUCUGAACCGCUGACCCCCGGGAGAGUAGCCCUGUGCGUGCUGAAGUCACAUGAUAUGAAAGAGGGCGUUUUAGUGUGUUUCAUGCUCGUUUUUUAAACUCUGAUCAUCCACUAAAGACGCAGCGUGCCUCCUCAAGGCAGAGGAAAUGUUCCUACGCAGACUCCAUCUUUCACACCACACUAUUCCUGUCAUUAAUAUAGGCCCACGAGGUAUUUCCUGUUAUAUGUUUCUACAUAAUUUAGCAUUUUAAAUAGUUUCCAAUGUCAUUAAAAUACCAAUAGUAAAACAAACAAAAACACUUUAACAUAGGUCCUUGGCAUUGUCAAGCUCAAUAACUGAUAAAUGAAUGACAGCUUUAUAAGUGCCCCUGGCUUAAAUGAGCAAAUUUGGAAGCAACACUGCAGGAGACAUACAUAGUCAGUGUCCAAAAGACAGACAUACAGAUUUGUCCAUCCUCACCAGUGCAUCAAAAGCUACCUGAGCAUUUAAAGAUGCCGGAGACAAUAACUGAUCAUUCAGAUAAAGACAUAAGACCUCAUAGGAAAAACAGGAACAAAUCUGAGCGAAACACACAAAAAAAACAGAAUAAAUCUUGUUUUCUGAGAAAAUCUAUACA